UACAGAGGUGGCGAGCGUUGUUCGGAUUUACUGGGCGUAAAGGGCGCGUAGGCGGCCACCGCAAGUCGACUGUGAAAUCUCCGGGCUUAACUCGGAACGGUCAACUGAUACUGCGCGGCUAGAGUGCGGAAGGGGCAACUGGAAUUCUCGGUGUAGCGGUGAAAUGCGUAGAUAUCGAGAGGAACACCUGCGGCGAAGGCGGGUUGCUGGGCCGACACUGACGCUGAUGCGCGAAAGCCAGGGGAGCGAACGGG
rnacentral:rRNA from 1 species